UGCAUUCUGGUAACAAUGUCAAUGCGUGGCUUGUUUAUGUCGAUGACCGUUCUGUAGGUGUGUCGACGGGAGAAUACCGAAAUUCUAGAUCAUCAUGAAACGUGGAGCGGACAGAGAUUUGUCUCCGUCGAGUAAACGAUCACGGUCGAGUUUAGGACGUUAUGAUGACAGUAGUGAAGACGAAGGGCGUAGAAGUAGCCGCGGUGGAAGUCCUGGCCGACGGUAUCCACCCCCGGAACCUCUCCAUCGCUCCGAUCACCGGGAUGAUUUCGGCCGGCCUCCUCGGGGCCCCCCGCCCCCUGGAUAUAAGGUACUGUGUGUGUCGAAUCUUCAUGCUAAAGCCAGUGACGAAAUGGUGAGGGAAGCCCUCUACCGUGAAUUCAAGAGAUUUGGUGACGUAAGUGUCAAAGUAACCUUGGGGGCUGACGAGAGGUUGGCCUACGUUUAUUUCCGGAGCGGGGAGGAGGCCAGGGAGGCCAAGCACAGCAAGCCCCGCAUCCUCUUCUAUGACCGUCCCGUCGUGGUUGAACCCGUCUACGAAGCCAGCAGUAGGGAUUACGGGCCUCCCAGGGGCAGGUCACGAACGCCCCCGGACUAUGACCGCGGGUACAGGCCCAGGACUCCACCUGGGCAGGAACUGGACGAUAGGUAUGAACCUAGGUUUGACAGGCGUCGGCCUCCUCCUCCUCCCCAUAGUGACUAUUACGCUGAAGGACCCCCACUAAGACAGGAUGACUAUGGUUACCGACAGCCUCGGGGAAGGGGGGGACCGCAUGGACACUACGGUCCACCCAUACGUGGAUUCAAGCACAACUUUGGUGGUCGAGGUGGUGGGGGCGGGGGUGGCGGUGGGAUGGUCGAGAGUAAGAGGGAUAAGUUUCCAAACUAUUUGCAUCACGUGCCCCCGGAGGAGGAUCCUCUCGCGACACGCACAUUGUUUGCUGGGAAUUUGGAGAUUAAUAUCAGUGAGGACGAAUUGAGGCGCAUUUUUGGACGGUACGGUGUAGUCGAUGAUAUUGAUAUCAAGCGUCCUCCGCCUGGGACAGGAAAUGCUUAUGCUUUUGUAAGAUACCAGAAUCUGGAUAUGGCUCAUCGUGCCAAGAUUGAGCUUUCGGGGCAGUACAUAGGUAAAUUCCAAUGCAAGAUUGGAUAUGGCAAAGUGUUGCCAACCACUCGGGUUUGGGUGGGUGGCCUGGGACCUUGGACGUCGGUCACUCAGCUGACGCAGGAAUUCGAUCGAUUUGGAGCCAUAAAGAAAAUAGAAUAUGUAAAAGGAGAAAGUCAUGCUUACAUUCUGUAUGAAAGUUUAGAUGCUGCUCAAGCAGCUGUUAAAGAGAUGCGAGGCGUCCCUCUUGGAGGGCCAGAUAAACGACUUAGAACAGAUUUUGCAGAAGUGAAUCCCCCUGGUCCUUUUCCAUCUGGCUACAAAAAGGAAUUUGAAGGCGAGUAUGAGGAUUGGGGUAGCCGCAGUGGAACCGGUGCUGGUUACGAAGACUACGGAGGUAGUAGUGAAUAUAGUUCGAGUUACAGCCGAGGAAGAGGCAGAGGGCGUGGAUGGCACGAAAGGGGUCGUGGUCAUAGGGGGAACUACCACGGUGAUUAUCAGAGAGACUAUAGGGACUACGAAGGAACCCCAGAAGGUGGCGAUCCAGCACGGAGUCCAGAUCCAAACGAUUCCAAUAAUACUUCUGGGCUGAACAGAGCUCGUACUUUGGCAGAUGUUGCUCGAGAAACCAGUACGGCAUGGCAUGGUUCUCUCAUUCUGAAGAAUUCAUCUUUUGGUACUAAGAUGCAUCUUAUUGAGGGUGAUGGCGAAGUUGCUGAUAUGAUGCAAGAUGAAGAUGCUAGACCUCUUCUCCGCAUUACACAACGUCUUCGUUUAGAUCAGUCUCGCUUAGACGACGUCAGUCGCCGUAUUAGUGCACCAUCCACAGCUACUAUCAUGUUGUCUUUACCCAGUACUACUGCUCCACAGGCUCCAGAAGAGGCGUCGGUUCAGACUCGACCACUUCGAAAUCUGGUGGCUUAUCUUAAGCAGAAGGAGGCAGCAGGUGUGAUCACCCUCAACACAAGUAACAGUAGCAGCAGCAACAACAAAGAGGCGUCAAUGCAGGGUGUUUUGUACGCUUUUCCUCCGUGUGCAUUCUCUUUGGACCUUCUCCAUCGUGUAUCCCCUGGUCUUACAGAAGAAACUACUAGAGACGAUCAUUUGGUUAUUGUCAUAGUCAAAGGAACAGCUACUUGAAUAUGCACCUAAGUUUCCCCUUAAGAUUUAAUAGGUAUGAAUUAACUAAAUGAUAUUGGUUUUGGAUGUGUUGAAUUACAAGAUGGAAAAUGAUUUGUUAAUGUUUAUGUCAGCUUAGGUAUUUUCUUAUGACUUAUGAAUUUUAUGUUUAAAGGAAUACGUAUACAGUAUGUAUUCCAAGUUAUUGGUCGAAUCAGCAGUUUGUGUAAAUUCAGCAAGUAUGGAUAAUUAUGAGUUGUGAUUUUUUUUAAUUUGGAAAAUGCCAUCAAUUGGUAUUAUAGAGGUUUUAUGAAGUGUUAUCAUCACAUAGUUUUGAUAAAUGUCAAUUAUUUGCCUAUGAAGUGUCACGUGUAGCUUAAUUACCAAAGGUCAUGGUCUCAGAAUGUGCUUCAGUGUUUGAUUGUGCAUGUGAAAUUCGUUUUUGCUUUGUGGUGAAUGAUAGUCAAGUGAUUGAUUUACACAUCAGUAUUUUUCAUGGAUAAGCUUAAGUAAUUUCAUUUCUUUGAGUGAAGUGGUUCUGUGAAGUGAUUUAAAUCAUAAAGGUUAGGUUUUGGUGAUGGCUCAAUCAUGCCUCUAAUCAAUGUGUCUUAUUGGAUUGUGCAUUAAUCAUUUUAAGGUGUUUUUUUGUACAGUGCCAUAUCCAGUGCUAUUUAUCUUUGAUGAUUUCAAGUGUGGUAGGAAGUGUUCCCUCAUUUAAAGUUUUGAAUAUCUUUAAAUAGUGAUUUUUUGCUCCAAGUGUUUGUGAGUGUUAUGAAAGAAGCAUUGCAGCAAAAUUUUUGUGAAGUGAAUUUAUACAAGUGCAAUAUAUAAUGGAAAGAGAGAAUAUAUAAAAUAUUUUAUUCUAGUCAGUGGGUGGGGGGGUGGAUACUGCCUGGAGUAUAUUUUUUAUAGUGUAGUAUAAGUGAAGAAAGUUAAGUCUCAGUGGUCAAGUGCUUUCUAAUUUUAGUUUAUUCCGUAAUUUCAGGUUGAACUAAUAUUAUCCCCUUUGAAAUAAGUUACCGGUACUAGAAAAGUUUUAGUGUUUUUUUUUAUCUCCCUUCAGUAACUAGCUUUUGUUUUCAGAUUGUCCUCUUCGUGAUUUUCGUCAUGAGAUUUCUUAUUAUGCAUGUGUCUAUACAAUUGCACAAUUAUUCAUUACAUUAUACACUAAAUAUAUUUUGCCUUAGAUGUAACCCAUGUGAUAGCUGGGUACACAGUUGAAGUAGGGUUUAACACUGCAGCCAUUUUUGUCAUAUAGCCGUGUACAGUCUCCUCCUUGCACUCUCUCAAUUGCUUUAAAGGCAUACAAGAUUUUUAUUAAAUAUUUAAUCAUUUGCAGUAAUUGAAGGUGAAACAGUGUAUGAAUUUAAUAAAUUUCUUAUCACAUUCAGUAUAAUUAUUCACUUUCUCUCAUGCUCUUUACACACAUACACACACAUUCCUAUGAAAUUUGAUGGCUGACAAAAAUCAGAAUUCACAUUUGCAGGUUAACACAACAUAUUGUUUACAAGCAGUUGGCACUCUUUGCUCAAAAGUUGCUAAUGUACAUUUUUCAGUUCUUUUUAUCUAAGGGUUGGCCUCUUGAAAAGCAAAGCAUACACACGAUGUACAUGUUUUUGGUUAAAUUGGAUCUUUUAUGGACUAAUAUAACAGCAGUUAUAGCUCAUUGUGUUGCAUGAAUUUUUAUUAUGUAGUUUGUGAGGACUGAUUUAUCUGUUAGUUGCUGCAUACAGGAUGAGUACAUAUAAGUACACUAUCAUUGUAUUUUGUAAAUGAAGAUUGAUUCCUGUUGAAUGGUUGAAUUUUUAUUGAAAAUUUAUCAAGACAAUUCCUAAAUAAUUGUUCAUGUCAAUGGAAGUUAAAUUGGUGGUAUUAUAAGGGUUUGUUUAUGCAGGAAUGUGAAUACAUAAUUGCUUAUCUCCAAUUUUGUUUAAAAGACUCAAAAUUUAUUACUGUAAAGGUUUCAGUUCCAGUGCUUAAGGGACACUUUAGAUAGACCUACAAUGGCAGUCUUCAUGGUUGCAUAUUCACCCAUGGCUCAUAAUUACACAUCACAAACUUGGAAAUUUGUUACAUGUUUUGAAACUAAUAGAAAUGACAUUUUGGUUUUAUUUGCUUUAAAUUUUAAAUCAUUCCUGGUAAAGAAGAUAGAAGUUACUUAUUUUGAACUGGAGACUGAUGUAUAGGAAGUUACCUAUCUUGAACUGGAGACUGAUGUAUAGGCUUUGCCUAAUCUAUAUAAGCCAACAGAUUAUCAGGCAGUUUUUUGUUCUUUAUGUACUUGGUUAGAACAGCUCAUAGUUGAUCAGUUCCAUAUCAGGCACAACAAUGUGAUUGCUUUAUAACCAUGGCUUUUAGGGAAUUGCAAACAUCAGUUAUUCGUAUCUCAAAAGUUCUAUUUAUUUUGCCGUACCGUUCCCCACUAACCUGUCAGUGGGAAACUGGUUUUAGAUUCUGAUAGCAAGUAGCAAAAAAUGACAUACAGACAGAAAAGGUAAAAACUCAAUUUUAAGCUCAGAGAUUUUUGAUACUGAAACAAAUCAAAAUAUGAUCAGUUUCUUUUUUUUUUUUAUUAUUGGUUUGGGUCUGGUUACCAUGAUUAAAUGUAGGGAUGACCCCACCCUCAUAUUAAGAAACAGAAAUGUAUACAGAAACCAUUACAUACAAACCUAACCAUGGUUGCAGUGGCUUGGAUAUGGACUAGGACAACCUCCCUUCCCAAGAUUCCUACAAAUGUGUCCUUAGGCAUGCCUUAAUUUAGUUGUCAAUACUACAGCCUGCUUCCAUGGAAAGUCAACCAGGCUGUGAAGACAGUUCAUUAGCAUUUAAAGAUUCUUCAGGGGAAGUGGAUCUGACAGGGACUGGAGACUGCUUCGCAGAAUCUCGGAAUUUAACCCUUUCAUGUCCAACUGGCGUAAUAGUAUGUAAAAAUACUCUAUCCCCUAUCUAUCCAACUGACGUAGCGGUACGUAAAAUUUACCUAAAUUUUUCGUGCGUGUGGUAGGGGCAUUUUUUUUUUUAUUUUCGGACAAGUAGUGAUUUCCACAGGCUAGAUUAUACCUUGGACCGUGUAUCUCGGGUAUCAAUACGACAGCAAAGUAGUUUCUGUACUGCGCAUGCUCAAAUCCAUGUACUACGCUCUGUUUCUUACCCUCUUUUCUAUCAAUUUUUUCACCGGCUGGACUUAUUCGUUUUCCAUUGAUUUAUAUGUCGUUUUGGCUUUCUCAUAAAAAAUAAUUCAUUUGCCUGACUUUCAUAGUUUUUGGGUUACGAACGAAAAUAUAAAAAUAAGUAAAGUUUUUUAGUUUUUUUGUUAAAUAACUCACAUUUUUUCAUAUUUAGAGGGCUGGGACUCUUAUUCUGACUAUUUCACCAUAAAAUACUAACAUUUAGAAAAAAAGGACAGAAAAUGAACGUUGUUGGCAUAAAAUUUAUAUUUUUGCUGAAUUUUCGAUAUACUAAUUAUUUUUUUGCACUAUCGAGCGCUCCCAGAUACCUCGGAUAUCUGGGGACACAGUGCUCAAAACUAAGCGGAUAUGAAAGAGUUAAGAAUAGAAGGAGACGUUUUACUGAUCCAAUACUUUUCUGAAGGAAGGCUUACAAGCUGAAUAUUGCUUCAGAGGAUUCUGGAGUCGUGAAGAUGUCUUCAGGAAUUAAGUUUUAUCCAGUUUAUACAUGCUGGGUAAGCCAUAAUGCAGGUAGACUGUGAUUUCACUUUUAAUUAGGGGGAUUUGGGCAAGUGGUAAGUCAUCAUCUGAACCAUCCAUUUAUAAUUAACCAUAUAUUAAAAGAUUUCUUCUGGCAGCACUUGUUUCCUGGAAGUUUUCCUAGAAUGAGAAUAGAAACAAAUUUCCUAUGCCACCAGGUAAAUGGCCAUGACUCUCACCCAGGUGGUUAAGAAAAAGACUAAAUGCGAUAUCAUGGGUGCGUGGUCUUUGACCAGUUUUAACCUGACAUACGCUCACAUUGCCAGAUCUCACAGAUUCAUUGCUUUUCAAUCUCUUGAUUGUUUAACCAUAUCCAGCUAGGCGCUAGAAAAUUAUUCUAUUAAGACCUCAAGUUUGUAGCUAUGAAAAAUACAAAUUGUCUUAGAAAAUUUGUGAUAUUACAGGAGUUGUUGGUCACCAGUUCAUAUGAAGAGGAAUGUGGUAUUCCUUCUGUCUUGGGACCUUAUCAGUCUCAUAUCCCUAUGCCAGAUUCUAUAAGAGGUUAAGUCAUCAGUUCCUCUUUCAUAUUUAUGUCUGGGAACAAAAUUUUGCAGGUUGUAUUUUGCUGGGUAUGCAACCCAGUCUUUUAUCAUAAUCAUAAGCCCACCUCAGCCACCCCACAUAGUCCUAGUCCCUGAGGCCAAAGGAAAAGUUCUCACUUCCGAGGUGAGUGGUACUCCCAUUUAGCAGCUUCCAUCCAUUACCAAAUCGAGGACAACUACAUUAACCCAUAAGAGCCGGGCUAAAAAAAAAAAAAAAAAAAAAAAAAAAUGCAGCACCCCAGACUGGGCAGACUUUGAAGUCAGCCAAUUUAAGAACAAAAUACAUCAAUGGAAAGAGGGAGACACGCAAAUGCACAUGGUGUAAGAAAAAAAUGAAAAAAUUCUCCCUAUUCUCCAAAAGAGGUUGAAAAUCACUAUUUACAAGCCUUGCAGGGCCUCUUAUACAAGACAAUUGUCAAUUUUACCAAUUUAUGCAUGUUUUUUUCCAAUUCCAUUUUGUAAAAUUAUAAUUAUAGCUCAAACAAAUCAUAACAGAUAAAAACUAAAAUUGGUAAUAUUGUGAGUAUAUUUGUUAUAAAAUAUUGAUUAGAUUUUCUGAAGCAUACAUGAUUUUUCUAAUAUUUCUUCAAUUUUUAUUUUUUUUUUCUAAUAUUUCUUUACACUUUUCUUUUCAAAAUUACAGUUAUAGCUGACACACUAUCAUAAAAGAUAAGAACUACAACCAACAGCAAUCCCUGGGUGUAUUCAUGAGCAAAUAAAUAAAAAGAUGUCAUGGAAGAAAAAGGAGUAUGACAUUCCCCCGUUGAAAUCCAGAACAAGAUUAACCUCAUGAGAUGUCCAUUUAGCUAAAGGGCGCUGAGAAUUCAGUUGUCUAGAGUGUAAUGGAAACACACUGCCACUCUAUCUAGCCAAAUUGUGUAGUGUGUAAUAUUGAUGCUCACCAGGAGUGAAUCCACCAACCAUUCAAAACCUUUUGUCUCCACUCAUGAUGGUAUCCAUCCAUUUAGGGUUAAAGGCUUUGGUUUGUAUACCUAGAAAAAAUAUACAUUUUAAAAUUUGACAUAGAGGGUUGAUCAGGAUCAGUUCUUCAUUGAGUACUCUUAUUUUCUGAAGUGGGUCUUCUCACUGAUAAGUGUUGCCUGUAAGCAUUGCAAGUGUGUAACCUUGUCUGAAUUGGAAGUUGUGUAGUAAUGCUAGUCAACAACUUAUUGACAUUCUUGGCAUAAUCUGUAUAAAAAGUCGCAUCACUGACUUAUAUUGUAUCAGAAUGAAGAGUACUUAAUUGUUAUGGUUUUAAAAAUAGUACAUAUAGUGAUUGAGUUAGGCAUUUCUUUUAUAUUCACAUCUGUAGGUGUAGGGUUAUCAAUUGUGAAAUUGCUUCUAAAAUUCCCUAGUCAAUUAGCUGUUGGGAGUAUGAUGGAUUUAGCUAGUACAGUUCUCCUUUUAGAUGGGCAUUGACCUUUACAUUUCCUAAAACAGGCAUGCUGGAUUACAUUCAUGUAGUAGAGACCCCAUUAAAGAAUUAUUUUAAAGGGAGGGAAUAAUUGAUGAUAAUUUUGGAGUUGUAGUGAGUAUGUGUAGAUUUGUCCUUUUUGGGAGAAAAUUUGUAGAUAAAACCAUGUACAUUUUGUGAGCUUUACCUGACGGUGCAGUACAUAACUUUAAUUCUUAAGGAGUUGCACUUUACAGUACUAUUUUCAUUGCUUUGCUGUUCGAGAGGCUGACAUCAUACAUGGUCUUAUGGGCUUUGGGAUUUUAAUUACUAUACCUGUUUCCAUUACAGCUUUUCAGGUUUUGGGAAAAACGACGUGAUACAGGUCGAACCUAAAAGUGCCACCAUUAAUACAUGUAAUAUGCGUACCCCGAGGGUUAAUUAAGUGAAAUCUUUAGAAUUUCAGUUUUUGAAAAUGUGAUACAGCAUUAACUUAGCCAACUGAACAUUGGCCUAUACAUUAGUUAUGUACAUAUUAAAAAUGCAAUUGAUGCUCUAAAGAAAUUAUUGAAUUCAGUGAAGUGUCGUUUGGGUGCUUCAGUGUUCAAGUGCUUCAUUAGUAGUUCUAAAUAGCUUAAAAGCUCAUAAAUAUCAUAAAUUAUUAGUUCCAGUGUUUUUCACCUCUGUCUCUUCAGUUUAAUCAAACCUUGCUUUUCAGUGCUCUGCUAUACGUUAGUGAAUUGGUCAUGGGCAAGUCAAAUUUUUCAGUGCCAGGGAGAGUACAGUACAGAGUUUACAGAGAAGGGGAAAGCUGCUUACAUACAGUACGGUAUAGGAAACUAAAGUAUUAUGCAUGCUGAGUGUUUUCCCAUGUUAUCAAGUGCUGAAAAUUUUGAAUAUACUGUUUAGUCAUGCGGUGGGGCGUUGAAAACAUCCUAUGUAAUUUCAUGUUGACGACAAAGUCGGUGGGGUGGUACUUGCUACUGAAAGUAAAGGAUGGUACAUGAAACAUGACCGUACCAGUACUUUAGGGAGGAUUGUGGGAUUUUGUUUCCUUAAAAGGAUUUAUCCUCUAGAGGAUUCAAAAAGGGGCUAGUGAAGUGCAGUGAAGUUCUUUUUCAAUAUACUGUACUUGGUGCUUCUUUCAUAUAUCUUACCAAACUCAGUGUUUAAUUUUGGUUAACAGUUCAGUUCGUGUUGAAUACUUAAACUUCAAAAGAAAUCAAUGGCUUUACCAUGAAAAAUAUUCACCACAUUGAGUAAAAAAUGGGUAAUAAAGAUCAUCUGACACUGUGAGAAGCUAUGUAGUGUUUUAUAGUUCUUCCAUUACAUAUUGUACAAUGAAAAUGUAUUAUAGGUUUGAGUGGAAGUUAACAGCUUUUUAAGUGGUUUUGUUUGGAUUGUAAUCUUAGUUUAAAACUUCUUAAGGAACACGAAAGUGAUUAUCUCAGUUUGUAAAAAUCGUCUUAAACAGAACCCAACGAGACACUUGUGUACUUUUAAAUACUUGUACAAUGAUUGCUCUACUUGUGUAGUUUAUCUUUUAAUUGUGUGACGUGUGUUGUGAUGUGUUGCGAUUGUAAAUGCUGCGAGACAGUCAAAAUUUUAGUGUUAGUAGUGAAGUGUACUAGUGAUGAUAAUCAGUGCCGUGACAAGGGGUAGGCAGUGAUGGAGUGGUCAUGCAGUCUCUAGGAAUAGUAGCAGUACACUACUGAGAUAUACUUCGAGAUAUGGAAUAUCUGAUGGUAACUCUGCAAGAACAAAUAUAAAUAAGAAUCUCUAA